AUAAAUAAAAAAGAAUUCAUGUGCUUUUUGAAGCUUAUGAGGACUGUCAUGUUAUGUUUGCUUGUUUCAGGCGGAUCCCGACACGGAUGAGGUGUUUGCCCAGAUUGCGUUGCUUCCGGAGCAAAGUCAAGAUGAGAACGCGGUUGAGAAAGAGCCUCCACUGGCACCACGGUGACAUCCUUCCCUGCACUCUGUGCCUGCAACUAGAUAAAUGGAGCCUCAGAAUAGUUCAAGUACUGCUAGAGGAUGAGAAUGAACGAAUGGCACGUCGAAAGAAGAUCUAGCUUUGAAACUGAGUAUCCCUUAGCAAGAGAGUCUUCAAAUGUAUCUGAAACUGGCUCACUCUCCAUUGUUGUGCUUGGUGCAUUUGGUGAUCUGGCUAAGAAGAAAACGUUUCCGGCACUUUUCCACCUGUAUCGGUAGGGACAAAAAUCUUUGAUGAUGAACUGAGAGAUCGAUUGCGAGGCAAUGAAAUCCUUAUAGUAGAGAUGAUUCAAGGCCUUAUGCUGCAGUAGUUGUAGGAGUAUAAGUAUGCCUUCCAUAGAGAAAGCAGAGAGUUCAUCAGUCUCUGAUUGGUUGCCUUUGGUGUCAAGUGUCGCACAAGUCAUGGUGCAAGAGAGACUUGAUCACUUGAACAAUUGGUUAGGGAGAGAAGGCUGGAAGAGAGAUGCAGGAGGCAGCAGCAAAACAGAGUGAGAGAAAGAACUAAAUUUGUUAUUAUGGUGGCAAUAGAGAAAUGCUCUUAUGAUCCAAGAGAGAAUUUUAGGGAGUCCACGUGGAGAUGAUAACAGGAUAUCACAUUAAAAAAGUCAGAGAUUUAGACUACUCUUAUCUCAUGAACUUCAAUAAGUACCAUGGUUUUAUACUUGAGCUUUUUCAUGAGUUUUGUACUAAUUUAUUCUUAUAAUGUAAUGGCAUUGGUAAUAACCAUUCAUCAAGCUAAGGCUAUUGUGUGUGUUAGCCUUUAAUCCA